GAUGAACGCUGGCGGCGUGCCUAAUACAUGCAAGUAGAACGCUGAAGGAAGGAGCUUGCUCUUUCCGGAUGAGUUGCGAACGGGUGAGUAACGCGUAGGUAACCUGCCUGGUAGCGGGGGAUAACUAUUGGAAACGAUAGCUAAUACCGCAUAACAGUAGAUGUUGCAUGAUAUCUACUUAAAAGGUGCAAUUGCACCACUACCAGAUGGACCUGCGUUGUAUUAGCUAGUUGGUGAGGUAACGGCUCACCAAGGCGACGAUACAUAGCCGACCUGAGAGGGUGAUCGGCCACACUGGGACUGAGACACGGCCCAGACUCCUACGGGAGGCAGCAGUAGGGAAUCUUCGGCAAGGGACGGAAGUCUGACCGAGCAACGCCGCGGGAGUGAAGAAGGGUGUCGGAUCGUAAAGCUCGGUUGUAAGAGAAGAACGAGUGUGAGAGUGGAAAGUUCACACUGUGACGGUAUCUGACCAGAAAGGGACGGCUAACUACGUG
rnacentral:rRNA from 1 species